rnacentral:rRNA from 1 species
UACGGAAGGCAGCAGUGGGGAAUAUUGCACAAUGGGCGCAAGCCUGAUGCAGCCAUGCCGCGUGUAUGAAGAAGGCCUUCGGGUUGUAAAGUACUUUCAGUCGUGAGGAAGGUGUUAAGGUUAAUAACCUUAGCAAUUGACGUUAGCGACAGAAGAAGCACCGGCUAACUCCGUGCCAGCAGCCGCGGUAAUACGGAGGGUGCGAGCGUUAAUCGGAAUUACUGGGCGUAAAGGGCACGCAGGCGGUUAAUUAAGUUGGAUGUGAAAUCCCCGGGCUUAACCUGGGAAUGGCAUUCAAGACUGGUUAGCUAGAGUCUUGUAGAGGGGGUAGAAUUCCAUGUGUAGCGGUGAAAUGCGUAGAGAUGUGGAGGAAUACCGGUGGCGAAGGCGGCCCCUGGGACAAAGACUGACGCUCAUGUGCGAAAGCGUGGGGAGCAAACAGGGAUUAGAUACC